UACGUAGGGUGCAAGCGUUGUCCGGAAUUAUUGGGCGUAAAGAGCUCGUAGGCGGUUUGUCACGUCGGAUGUGAAAACCCGAGGCUUAACCUCGGGCCUGCAUUCGAUACGGGCUGACUAGAGUUCGGUAGGGGAGACGUGGAAUUCCUGGUGUAGCGGUGAAAUGCGUAGAUAUCGGAAGGAACAUCAGUGGCGAAAGCGACUUCCUGGACCAAUACUGACGCUCAUGUGCGAAAGCGUGGGGAGCAAACAGG
rnacentral:rRNA from 1 species